AUUUCCUUCAGUAAUGAAGUAACAAAUCGCAGUAUGAGGCUGUUUGAGGAUGUGAGAAGUUUGUGGCUUAGACAUGACAGGAAGAUGGAUCUUUGAAUUCUGACAGAUCUGACUAUAUUGCUGCACUGGGAGCCCAGGGCUUCUCCUCUGGGAAACACUACUGGGAGCUGGAUGUGUUUGACUCAUGGGACUGGUCUCUGGGAGUCUGAGAGGAAUCUUGGAUAAGGAAGAAUGGAACACUGAUUGCAUCUGAGGACAUAUUUCUUCUUUUAUGUGUGAAGGAGGAUAAUUAUUGCAGUCUCUUGACCACCUCCCCAGUGUUUCCUCACUAUGUAAAAAAACCUCUGGGCUGGAUUGGUGUGUUUCUUAAUUGUUAAAGUGGAAGUGUGAGUUUUUUAAAUGUCACUAAAAGUUCUCUCAUAUGGAGGUAUCCAUCUGGCUCUUUCAAUUUCCCUGUCACGCCUUUCUUUCUCACUGGCCAC
rnacentral:lncRNA from 1 species